UUAAACUUUUUUAAUUGUAACUCAGACAACUUCAAAAUUAGAGUAAAAAUUCUUCGGCGAGCACUCGUCCACUAGAAGUCGACGGCUACAAGUAGUCGUCUCGCCGAAGCAACAAGUCAAUAAACAUUGGGUUGGAGGUCCCUAAAAUUAGGGAGACUCGGUAAUGAUCCUUCCGUAGGUUCACCUACGGAAA
rnacentral:misc_RNA from 1 species